GCUGAGUGGGGAGGAGAGAGGGACAGAGAGCCUGCUUCUUUAAAGGAGCAAAGCGGGAGAGGAGAGGAGCCGCUUACACAAGUGUAAGCGGCUCCUGUCCGGUUGGCUCCUUUAAAGCAAGCAGGCUCUCUGUCCUUCUCUCCUCCCCACUCAGC
rnacentral:miRNA from 1 species